UACUGGGGGGGUAAGCGUUGUUCGGAAUUACUGGGCGUAAAGGGCUCGUAGGCGGCCAACUAAGUCGGAUGUGAAAUCCCUCAGCUUAACUGGGGAACUGCGUCCGAUACUGGAUGGCUUGGAUUUGGGAGAGGGAUGCGGAAUUCCAGGUGUAGCGGUGAAAUGCGUAGAUAUCUGGAGGAACACCGGUGGCGAAGGCGGCAUCCUGGACCAAUAUUGACGCUGAGGAGCGAAAGCCAGGGGAGCAAACGGG
rnacentral:rRNA from 1 species